ACAGACCGCCGAACGGACAGAGUUUCCCCUGUACGUCCUAGACGUCGCAGUCAAUACAAUGUACGAGGUUCCAACCAGGAACACAUUUCAAUCAAGAUUGCAUAAGGAAGGUAUCAAACAACAUAAAACACCUAAGUUAUUACAUGCAUUCCCACAACAUGCAUUUUACAUCUCAGUCACAGUUCAUUUUACAACUUCCAAAUACAAUCAAAUUAUUACAUCAUUUAUUUACAAGUUUUAGUACAUCUUGUUCUUUCCUUUCCCUCUACUCCUA
rnacentral:lncRNA from 1 species